AUUGAACGCUGGCGGCAUGCUUUACACAUGCAAGUCGAACGGUAACAGGCCGCAAGGUGCUGACGAGUGGCGAACGGGUGAGUAAUGCAUCGGAACGUGCCCAGUCGUGGGGGAUAACGCAGCGAAAGCUGCGCUAAUACCGCAUACGAUCUAUGGAUGAAAGCGGGGGACCGUAAGGCCUCGCGCGAUUGGAGCGGCCGAUGUCAGAUUAGGUAGUUGGUGAGGUAAAGGCUCACCAAGCCAACGAGCUGUAGCUGGUCUGUGAGGACGACCAGCCACACUGGGACUGAGACACGGCCCAGACUCCUACGGGAGGCAGCAGUGGGGAAUUUUGGACAAUGGGCGCAAGCCUGAUCCAGCAAUGCCGCGUGCAGGAAGAAGGCCUUCGGGUUGUAAACUGCUUUUGUACGGAACGAAACGGCUCUCACUAAUACUGGGGGCUAAUGACGGUACCGUAAGAAUAAGCACCGGCUAACUACGUGCCAGCCGCCGCCGUAAGAC
rnacentral:rRNA from 1 species